AAAAUACGAAUUGCAUUAAAGAUGCAACAAACCGUGAACAAAGCAGACGCGCUAGAUGCAAAAAGUGCCGCCACAAGCGAGAGCUCAAGUUGCUGGUGGUUUAGCC
rnacentral:SRP_RNA from 1 species